rnacentral:other from 1 species
GUUGACCUCACAGCAAUUAACUAGUUUUAAAGAAACCCCCUUGUCAACUG